rnacentral:rRNA from 1 species
AAUCUUCCGCAAUGGACGAAAGUCUGACGGAGCAACGCCGCGUGUACGACGAAGGCCUUCGGGUUGUAAAGUUCUGUCCUUGGGGACGAUAAUGACGGUACCCAAGGAGGAAGCCCCGGCUAACUACGUGCCAGCAGCCGCGGUAAUACGUAGGGGGCGAGCGUUGUCCGGAAUUAUUGGGCGUAAAGGGUUCGUAGGCGGUCUUUUAAGUCAGAUGUGAAAGGUCACGGCUCAACCGUGGUAAGCAUUUGAAACUGAAAGACUUGAGUUAAGGAGAGGAAAGUGGAAUUCCUAGUGUAGCGGUGAAAUGCGUAGAUAUUAGGAGGAAUACCAGUGGCGAAGGCGACUUUCUGGACUUAUACUGACGCUGAGGAACGAAAGCGUGGGGAGCAAACAGG